GGGUACCCAGGAAGCAAGAGGAAGGAAGACCAGGACCCCGUGGCUACACACCAACACCUUCAAGCCUACGACUGAUGCCCCUAAGGGUAAGUGGGUGAAGCUUGUCGAAAGAGGCGAACAAGGCCAUAAGAAGUGGACAAACUUUGAAGUACAGAGAGGUUCCUCGCUGGCAUACCACAAGGAAUCCCAAACCUCAAAACAACUAGCGUAUCGCUCCGAAAACUACAAAGGGAAGAACCUUAUGUCAAGGUCCCAGUGGAGGAGAGGGCAGAGGAGACGAAAGGCUGAAAGAGAGGCUGGAGAAAUGGCGAAGGCAGAAUCCGGUAGUAACGUACCCCUAAAAUAGGAGAGGAACAAAGAAAAUAAGCAUGUCGAAAGGAAGCUCUUUUCCUCUCAAAAGGAGAAAUCUGCAAAGAAGUCUGACUAAGCAGCAUCAGAAGACGAUAUGCUGACGAAUGAUUUUGACACAGAUUCAGAGCCAUCCUUGGAUAUCACGUGCAACAUGGUGUCUGUGUUGCCCAGGGAAUAUGACCAAGUUAUGGAAGUAGAGGAAACCUGAGGAUAUAACGAAUGCGGAAAUGGCCAGGCAUAUGCAAGUUUGUUACUACGUGAUGAAUGAUGGGUGCGUAGAAGAGCAAAAUGCCUUUUUGAAAGGCUCGAUUGAGGGAUGAAGAGCCAUUUGAAACCUCUGUUUAUUAGAGGCAAAGUGGAAAAUGUCAGAGUGAGUACAAACCUAAUGGAUGGUGGGGCAGUU
rnacentral:lncRNA from 1 species